AAGUCGUAACAAGGUUUCCGUAGGUGAACCUGCGGAAGGAUCAUUAACAACAUAUCCUAACUUAAAAACCCUGUGAACUUUCAACCCCAAACUGCUUGAUCCCAGUACCUCAGCAAUCUCUGGUAAAUCAUAGUGAACAGCUUUGAUUCGGAGACCUCUGAAUAACCUUGGGCGGUCGCGGUUGGUAAGGCAAGUGACCCGGUACCCUCAAGACCAGUGUUCAAUGAUCCAAACGUUCUGUCAGUGUGCGUUUGAUUUGCAAGGGUGGCGCAGUAAACGAUCGCUGGAGGCCGACACGGCCGGCGACUGGGUCAGCGAGCUCUGCUCCCACUGUUACUACUUACAAGAUUUCCCAAUUAGUGAAAGCUAUUGGGCUAUAACUAAACGACUGUUAACAAUGGAUAUCUCGAUUCUC
rnacentral:misc_RNA from 1 species